CAAUAGCGUAUAUUAAAGUUGUUGCAGUUAAAAAGCUCGUAGUUGGAUUUCUGGUGGGAGCGAUCGGACUGGCGCUUAGCGCGAGUACUUGCAUCGUCUCCGGCCAUCCUUGGGGAGAGUCUGUCUGGCAUUAAGUUGUCGGGCAGAGGAUCCUCAUCGUUUACUGUGAAAAAAUUAGAGUGUUCAAAGCAGGCUUAUGCCGUUGAAUAUAUUAGCAUGGAAUAAUAAGAUAGGACUUUGGUACUAUUUUGUUGGUUUGCGCACCAAAGUAAUGAUUAAUAGGGACAGUUGGGGGUAUUCGUAUUCCGUUGUCAGAGGUGAAAUUCUUGGAUUUACGGAAGACGAACUACUGCGAAAGCAUUUACCAAGGAUGUUUUCAUUAA
rnacentral:rRNA from 1 species